AGAUGUGAGGGUAAUCUAGCUGCAACAUCUCUCACCCCAUUGAUCACCAGGGUUUGUUUGGCUGAUCUGGCUGUCUAGGCGGGUGUCCUCUUCCUUCUUCACUGCUCCAUGUGUGGCCCUCCUGAAGCUGUGCCCUGGUGAAAGAGGAGGACUAUUUCUUUGGUCAGGGGUGUAUGAGUAGAUAUGCUCCCUUGCUCGAAUCACCAAACAAGUUCUCAAGAAAGUUCCUGAGCUAUGGACCUUGAGAAAAAUGGCAUUUCUUGAAGUACAGCAUCCCCAAACUAGAAAGCAAGUCAGGGCUUUUUUG
rnacentral:snRNA from 1 species